GUGUGUGAGUCUGUACACUGCAUCUGGAGAGUGUUGGCAGCGCUUCAGUUUCUCCACAUGUGUUUAUGUUACACUCUUAUUCCACAAUGGAUUCACUUGAUUAACGCCAAAGCCUGUGAUACUGAUGCACAUCUGAUUAUUCAGCUUUUUAUUCUUAAUAAAUCUGCAACUAUUUCUAAAACUCUCUCCACAUGGUCAUUAUGGGGGAUUGUGUGUAGAAUGUUGAGGAAAUCAAAUUUGGAAUACGGCUGUAACAUAAACACAUGGAGACAAAGUCAAGCCGGAUGCAGUGUACUUGUGUGUGUGAGUGGGUGUUUGUGUUUGUUGGUGUGUUAAACCCUGUAUUAAUAUACAAAUGUCCCCACAAAUAUAUCAAAACCAGUAACUGUAACUUUAUGGGGACAUGUUCUGGUCCUCAUGAGGCACACAGGGCUGAUGAAUGGAGGAGUGUGGAGAUGAAGGAGUGCGGAGUGUGUGCUGUGAGGGGUGAGGAGAGAAUAUACAGUCUGUACAGCACAAACGUCAGCUGUGUGUGUGUGUGUGUGUGUUUGAUCCUCAGCUAUGCCUCAAAGCCCAGUGAGGACUACGAGGACCCUCAGGAUGUGGAGGGCAUCCGUGCGGCUCGGGAGAAUCUGGGCGACUGUAAGCUGAAGUCUGCAGAGGACUUCACCGUUCCUGAACACCUGAGGAUGAACGUGGAGAAGAAGAGAGCGCAGCUGCUGGAGCUGGAGAGGAAGGUCAACACACACACACACACACACACACACACACACAUCAAAGCAUUUCGAGCGGAGUGUAUGCCAGUGUCUUUGAGCAGCUCGUGCGUCUGUGUCCUGCAGAUCUUUGAGCAGAAGUCUGAGAUGAACCUGCGUGUGCUGGCGCUGCGGGACCAGAAGGUGGCGCUGCUGUCUGAGCUGCAGGCGCAGGUGGAGCAGCUGCAGGCCGUCCAGCAGACCCUGCCGCUCCAGAAGCACCGCCCGCUGCCCGCGCUGCCCGUCCUGCUGCCCGCCGAGGUGCCCGAGAGGAGGCACCGCUACACCCGCGCCACCCUGGAGCGCUUCAACACGCUGAGACUGCAGGAGGAGCAGGACAUCCUGGAGCUGCUGGAGGCGCAGGACACACACACAGAGGAGGACACACACACCCAGAGCCAGGACACACACGCGGUGGAGGACACACACUCUCAGCAGGAGGAGCUGACACUGCUGGAGGAGCAGAUGAGGGAGAUGGAGGAGGCCAGGGGACUGAACCUGCAGGAGCAGCUGCUUACACAGGUCACACACACACACACACACACGCACACACACACACACACACACACACUGACGGCUCUGUGUGUGUCACUGCAGAUGCAGGACAGUGUGUGUCGCUUCGAUGCGGAGCUGUGUGUUCUGCGUCAUGAGAAGCAGCAGCUGGACGUGAGUCUGAAACUGGCGGACCUCCGACACGUGACGCUGUUCGAGGAGCUGCUGCUGCUAAGGGACUUCCAGAAGAGGGAGGAGAAGCUGACCGAGAGACUGCGCACAUACCGGCAGGAGGAGGACGACAUACAGGUCAGUGUGUGUGUGUGUGUGUGUGUGUGUAUCUUGUAUUCUGUAGGUUGUGGGGCCCAAAUGUCCCCACAAGUAUGGCAUUACCAGUACACGUUAACCUUGUGGGGACAUUUUUUAGUCUCUAUGAGGAAAAGGGCUCAUAAAUCAGACAGAAUAAGUAUUGUGUGUGUGUGUGUGUGUGUGUGUGUGUGUCAGGGCCGCAUGCGUGAGUGUCAGCGUCAGAUGGAGCUGAGGAAGCGUGAUGUUCAGCGUCUGCAGAACAGAGAGAAGAGCAUCUCCACCUCCUUCCAGACGUCUCUGGGGGAGAACCAGCGCUUCGAGGAGUUUCUGACCCGCGUCUUCAAGAAGAAGAUCAGGAGGACCAAGAAGAAAGAGACACACACCGCUCAAGAUGGAGAUCAGUCUGAGGAUGAAGAGGACAGUGAUGAAGACUCUGAUGAAGACUCAGACGCAGAGGAUGAGGACGACUAUGAGGAGUCUGAGGCUGGAGCUGCACUGGACGACACUGUGUGUCCACCGAACUGUGACGCUGCGCUCUUCGAGAACACACUGCGUCUGCGGGAUCUCCGUGUGGAUGUGGAGGAGCAGCUGCAGGACCAGAUGAAGACGCUCGACACCCUGAAGAAGGACUACGACACACUGAGCAAGAAGGUGACAGGAACACACACACACACCAUACAUGCACACACACACACACACACACACACGUGCACACACACAGCUUUCCUUCUGUCCAUCCAGCCUAAAGAGUGUGCAUGUGUGUGUGUGCAUGCAUNNNNNNNNNNNNNNNNNNNNNNNNNNNNNNNNNNNNNNNNNNNNNNNNNNNNNNNNNNNNNNNNNNNNNNNNNNNNNNNNNNNNNNNNNNNNNNNNNNNNCUGCGCCUGCAUCAGGUGCGUCACACACACACACACACACAGGCAACAUAAUGAGACAUCAGAGUGA
rnacentral:lncRNA from 1 species